AACAGUAACAGUAAGCCUCUAAUCUCUGGUAUGUGACUCCCAGUUUACUGGGAGACAGCAGAAGCAUAUCCAGGUAAGGAAAUCUGCCCACACAUCCUGACCUCUGGGAUUCUCUCUCUGGGAUUCUUGUGUCUGGAACGAUACCACAUCGCCUUCUCAGCGCAGGGGAGUCUGACCCUCGGAGUUCUGUUCAUCAUUACCCCACUGAGGGGUAAGCUGACUUCCGCCGUUCUUACGACUGCGUCUGCUCAUCUGAAAGAGUGCAGGUAUUGGACUGCAUCAGGGGACACACGCUCAGACUGCCACAGAGGCCGGGAAGUCAACGAUGUGAGCGAAGAGGGCCAGGCACAAGCAAGAGAGAGAAGUGGAGGCUGGAAACCAGAGCUCCCACAUUCCGUCCAAAGGGGGUAGCGCCUCCCUCGUUCUUGCCAGUCACCGCCACAUGCAGGAUGAAGUCCCAACUCCUUAACAAAGCAUAAACCAUACUGACUCCUGGCAUCUUCCCUCAUGGAUGCAACCAGUGCAAUUGUGAUAAUAGCUCUUCCUGGGUUGAACUUCUUGUGAAAUCUCCUCAUAAAUCAGAGAUUUUGGGUUGGUUCGUCUGGAGUGGAACCCUCCUCUCCUGAAGUGAUUCCAGUGUAGAAGGUAGGGGAAGCCCAAUGGAAGGGACAGAGACCAAAAGUGACAGGCAGCAUUAUUUGAUGUAAAUUAACGAAGCAUCCUUCCACUAUGAGAAUAAUUAAUCUGUAACGACUUGUUUUGGAGCAAUGUUAAUGAAAAAUUAGUGGCCUUACCCUCCUACUACGGAGGAUGUUCUCCUGGAAAAUGGUCUUGGAUUUUAACUCUUCUCCACAAAGUGAAAACACCUGCUGCAUCAAAAAAUGGAGGGAAAUAGGAACUCAUUCAGGAUCACUGAGUGUAGAUUCUUGAAGGUGAUAUUCCUUAGAUGCAUGGGUAUGGAAAGAGGUCUUCUGGGAUAUUGAGCACUUUUCAGAAAAUGGUGGCUUCAUAUGGUGGGUGCUAUGGCAUGGCAUCCAGAUUCCCACUUCAGGACUGAGACAAUUGAUCACCCGGCUGCCAUGAGUAUUUCCUUCUGAUGGCUUACAGAUAAAUGUCUGUAGGCGUUGUCCCCCUUCAUCAAGCUUACACCUGUGGGGCAGCCGGUGUCCCACGGUUAGCUGGUGUGGAGGUGCAGGACCUGGACAGCCUGCAGUCCAUGCAGCUCUAGAACUCAGUGUGGGAUCGACUGAGGUCUUUGUUGAACGUGCACCACAGUUCAGCUUCUUCCUCCACCCAAUUCUUUGUUCCUCACUCCUUGGAUCCUUAGGGCAUUCCUCCAAAACUUUCCACCUACCGAUCUCCAUCUGAGAUCUCCAACUGCUUCCAGAAGAACCUGACCUGACAGUGGGUUCAGAACUCCCGGGUUUCACCUCAAUGACAUUAUUCAUGUUACUUUGUUCCAGAAUUUUAGUUCCCAAUCCGCCACUCCUUUCUGCAUCCUUCCUUUUCCUUUUUCUCCUGCUCUAUCCUUGAUAUUUAAGGGCCCCUACUCUGGAUCUCUUGUUUCCUCUAUCACUGACCUUAUUAGGCUGUAUUUUCUUUUUACUCUGUGUGAGCCUGACCUCAAGCACACACAUACACGUACAAAGCCCUGAGGUUUCUGUGAUCUAAGGCAUUUGAGAAAUUUGGAGUUAAACAAAUGUGAGUUGCUGCAGGAGUUCUGAGUCUUUAAAAAGCUCAUGUAACAGAGGCACCUGAGUGGCUUAGUCAGUGAAGCAUUAGUCUUUUGAUUUUGAUUUUGGCUGCGGUCAUGAUCUCAUGGUUUGUGAGAUCGAGCUCUGCA